rnacentral:snRNA from 1 species
UUCUUGUGAUCUGCUCUUGUGU